rnacentral:rRNA from 1 species
UACGUAGGGUGCAAGCGUUGUCCGGAAUUAUUGGGCGUAAAGAGCUCGUAGGCGGUUUGUCGCGUCUGCUGUGAAAACUCGGGGCUCAACUCCGAGCUUGCAGUGGGUACGGGCAGACUAGAGUGCGGUAGGGGAGACUGGAAUUCCUGGUGUAGCGGUGGAAUGCGCAGAUAUCAGGAGGAACACCAAUGGCGAAGGCAGAUCUCUGGGCCGUAACUGACGCUGAGGAGCGAAAGCAUGGGGAGCGAACAGG